AUGCAUGUUAGUCGCUCUGAAGCGGGGAAGUGGGACAAGACAGUUUACAUCUCGAACGGACAAGUGUUGGACAGCCAGAAUCAGUCUCCAUGGAGAUUAUCUUUGAUAACAGAUUUCUUCUGGGGAAUAGCUGAGUUUGUGGUUUUAUUUUUCAAAACCCUGCUUCAGCAAGAUGUGAAAAAAAAGAAGCAGCUAUGGAAACUCAUCUAAUUCCAGAUAUCAUGAUGGAAGAGGGCCACCAGGAAACCCUCCCCGAAGAAUGGGUAGAAUCAAUCAUCUGCGUGGCCCCAGUCCUCCUCCAAUGGCUGGUGGAUGAGGAAGGUAAAUGUCUGCUCUAAGAAGCAGACAACUGGACAUGUGCAUUCAUAGCAGAAGGAAACCAUCAAGAAGUGGAAGGCUGAUCAUGCUGAGCAGUAGAUGAAUGUGUAUGUCUACACAAGGACUGUUCUGUGUCCUCACAGAUGAAUGAGGUCAUGCCAGGAAUUCCCUCUGCAGGGAACUGGCCUGACUGACGUGCAGUUCCAUAAAUGUACAUGUUUGUCUCAUUACCUUUUUGUAUAGUUUAUUAAAGUAUUAAUAUAGUUUUAAUAAGUAAAUUUUUAGGUUGCACAAUGGACUCCUCAUCUUUAUAUUAAAUUCAUGAAAAAAACUGAAGAAAAUAAAGCCUGUAUAUUUAAAAAAAA